CAAGAGUCCACAGGAGUACAUUGUCAGUCGUGAGCGCGAUUUCGUCGCGCCACGCACAUUACAAAUUAAAAUCAUCUAAAUCCCUCGAGUGAGAUAAAUUAAGAAAAAAAGAGACAAAUAGCUCUUGGAUUUGCAUGACAUUAAUAUCAUUGAAUGAGUCAAGAUGACAAGCAAUUCAUGGAGGAUCUUGGUGAUCCUAAGUGUCUUCAAUAUGUCGACAAUGAUUGAUGCCAUGACAACUGAGUCUUUGAUAAUAAAUUCAACCAGUUCAAGUACAACAGUACCAUCAACAACUCUUCGCUAUACUCUCCCUGAUAGAUGCCUUGUUAAAACUGAUGAGGGACCAUGUAAACACUGGAUUCAUAAAUGGUCAUUCAACAAAACAUCAGGAAAAUGUAUAACAUUUGCUUAUGGUGGUUGUUUGGGUAAUGAAAAUAGAUUUCAUUCACAACAAGAGUGUCUUCAUUAUUGCGUUGGUGGACCAAAUAAUACAUUACCACCUUAUAUGGUGACAAAAGGAAGUGUUUUUGUAACAACAAGUACAACAACAACAAGUAGACCUUCAACAACAACACCAAGUACUCCAUUACCAACAUUUUUUCCACCUGAACCAACAAGAAAACCAGUUCCAAAACAUAAACGUGGAAAAGAAUUGACAUUUAUGGAAUCUGGACAUGAUAAGACAUUUAUGUUUGCACAAAGUAAUACAUUUAUUCAGCUAGAUGGUCCUGGAAUUAAAACUUUUCAGUUAAGAUUAUGCAGAGAAAUAUCAUUUCAAUUUCGUACAAAAUUACCACAUGGUCUUUUGGUUUAUCACAGCGUAAAAGAUCGUCCAGAAAGUCUUGAUCCUUAUGCACUUUAUGUUAUUGUAGAAAAAGGACAGCUAAAAGUUGUUCAUGUAUUUGGUAAACAAUCAACAAGUUUAACUGUUGGUGAAGGAUUAAAUCGUGAUGAAUGGCACAGUGUUUUAGUUCGUAUUGAUGUACAUGGUGCUAAAUUAAUUGCUCGUGUUAAUGACAAACAAGAAGAAACAACACUUGAGGUACUUGAACGAGUUGUUAAUUAUGGAGUAUCAGAAGAGCUUGCAUCUGUUGUUUUAAUUGGAGGGCUAAGCUCAGAAGAAAAAUUACACGGUGUUAAAUAUAUUAUUGAAUCAUUUGUUGGUUGUAUAAGAGACAUGGUUUUAAGUUCUGGUAAAUCAGCAAGUGAUUUAUUACCAAUUCAACCAUUAAUUGCAACAAAACAUGAAAAUGUCAAGGAAGGAUGUAUUGACAAAUGUUGGACCAGAGAAAACAUGUGUUUUAUUGGUAGUCAAUGUGUAAAUCAUUACAACAGUUUGACGUGUGAUUGUUUUGGUACCAGAUAUGAAGGAGAACGUUGUGAUGUAUACACUGCAACUGUUUUAACACUUAGAGGCUCUUCAUAUGUAUCAUUCAGAGUAUACGACUGGAAAGAUCGUGUUCAUUCAUCAGUCAACAGAAUAAGUUUAAUGUUCAAGACACGAUGGGAUGAUUCAGUACUUUUUUAUGCAUCUGGAGUUAUAAAUGGAACUGAUCAUUAUAUUGCUGCUUCAAUAAUUGAAAAAAAAGUUCAUGUACAACUUGAUUUUGGUAAUGAUUCAAAAAUAAAAACAAUUCUUGGUAAUCAUGUAUCAUCAAAUAGCUGGAAUAAUUUAACAAUAUUUCACAAUGGUUCACAAGUAUUUGUUGGUCUAAAUGAUGAUGUUAAAGUAUUUGAAAUACCUGGUGUUAAUUCAUACAUGAUUAUUGAUCCAGAAAUUUAUAUUGGUGGUGGUCCAGAAUUACAAAAGAAAAAAGGACUUGUUUCUUUUAAUAAUUUUGCUGGUACAUUAAAGUAUGUUUUUUACAAUGAUAAAUCAAUUAUUUAUGAGCUUAAAAAAUCAAAUCCAAUGGUACAUUAUAUUGGUGUACUUGAGCCAGAAUAUUAUGAAGCUGAUGUUAAUGUUAUUCCAAUAACUUAUCCAUUUGCUGGUAGUCAUAUAUGGUGGCCAAUUGAAAAAACUCAUUCAUUAAUGUUAAAUUUUGAUUUUCAAAGUUCACAGCCAGUUGCUGUUGUUGCAUCUGGUGAUGUUAAAAGUGAUCAGGGUAUUGGCUACUGGGAGCUAAGAUUGAUAAAUGAUGAAAUUCGUUUUCAAUUAAUUCCAGUAUUGAGUGAAAAUAUAACAGUCAGUGCUUUUGUUAAAUUUCCACUUGAUAAUAAAACAAAAUGGCAUGCAGUUGAAUUAAAUUAUACUCGUGGUGAAUUAAAUAUAUUAGUUGAUCAUCGUCAUAAACAGGGUAAAUUAUUUGCCAUGACAUUUGAACUUGGUGAUAGAGUUAUACUUGGUGAUGGUGAAAGUGAUGCUGGUUUAGUUGGUUGUAUGAGAGAUAUCAAAAUAAAUGAUGAUAUUAUUGAACCAAGAUAUAUCAUAAAUACUGAAAGAGUUGUUGGUGAAGUUGCAUUGGAUAAUUGUCAAUUUGUUGAUCCUUGUACAAGACCAAAUACUUGUGAACAUGGUGGUAAAUGUUCAGUUAAAGAAAAUAAAAUUACUUGUGAUUGUACAGAUACUGGUUAUAUUGGAAAAAAUUGUCAUUUCACACAAUAUAGAAAAACAUGUGAAGAGCUGGCACUUCUUGGUUACACUCAAGAUGAUUUAUAUAAAAUUGAUAUUGAUGGAAAUGGAAGAUUUCCACCGGCACUUGUUAAAUGUGAAUUUCAAUCAAUUGAAGAUGCAACUAAAACAAUUGUCGAGCAUAAUUUACCAUCACAAGUUGAUGUCAGAUCAAUUGCUGAAGAAGAUUUUUCAUUUAACAUAACAUAUCGUGAAUUUACUGGUGAAAUGUUACAAGAAUUAAUAUCACAUUCAUUGUACUGUAGUCAAUAUAUAAAAUAUGAUUGUUACAAAGCACCAUUAGAACUUAAUAGUGCAUCAUGGUUUCUUGGUUCAAAAGGAACAAUUAUUGAUUAUAUUGGAAAUGUUAAUCUUGGCUCUUGUCCAUGUGGAAAAAAUCAAACAUGUAUUAAUCCAGAUUUAAGUUGUAAUUGUGAUGUAUCAAUGGGUAAAUGGAUAUCAGAUGAGGGAUAUUAUGAAAGUCCAAAUUCACUUGGUGUUACAGGAAUGGUUUUUCUUCAACAAAAAGAUCUUGAAGCUGAUGCACAAGGUCGUAUAACACUUGGACCACUUGAAUGUGUUGAAACAAAUACACAAAAAUAUGUUGUUACAUUUACAACAUCACAAUCAUAUAUUGAAGUACCAGGAUGGCGUAAAGGUGAUAUUGCAUUUAGUUUUCGUACAACUGGUGAAAAAGCAAUAUUAUUAUAUCAACCACCAAUUAGAAAUAAUUAUCCAUCAUUUAUGGUUGCAUUAACAUCUGAUUAUCGUUUGACAUUUAAUUUUACAUUAAAUACAGGAACAAAUCGUGAACUUGAAGUUAAAAGUCGUAGAAAAUUAAAUAAUGGUGAAUGGCAAAAAAUUUGGAUUGAUUAUAAUGAUUAUCAUGUUAGAUUUAUGAUUAAUACUGAUUUUCAAAUGGUUGAUUUACUUGCUGAAGAAGAAUUUGGUCCAUUUGAAGGUUCAAUGUUUAUUGGUGGUGCAACUGCUGAACAUUUAAAAACAUCAGAAGUUAGACAAGGUCUUAUUGGUUGUUUCCGUGGUUUAGUUGUUAAUGGUGAAAUUUUAGAUAUACACAGUUAUAUGUCUGUUCAUUUAUCAGAAAUAAUAAAAGAUUGUAAACCAUCUUGUCAACCAAAUAAAUGUCAAAAUGGUGCAAGAUGUGUAGAAUUAUGGAGUAAUUUUGAGUGUGUUUGUGAAAAUCGUUGGGCACAUCAAGGAACAUAUUGUGAAACAAAUAUCAACAGCAAAGCAUUGACGUUUACACUUCCUGGUGCAUUUUUGAAGAAGAAUUAUUUUGCAACUGGUGAUGUCGAGGAGAAGCUACUACUGAAGAGCAUGCUGUUGAAGAACAUACUGAUAAAUUUGAGGACUUAUGAUACCCAUUCAUUGAUUCUAUAUGCAAAUGAUCAUCUAAACAACUUUGUACAUCUAUACAUAUCAAAUGGAACGAGCAUCGUGUAUCUAUUCAAUGCUGGCAACGAGAUUAAGAACAUCACCGUCCAGUAUCCAGGUGUCAAUACUGGUAUAUCAGUACAAAUUGCAAUUGUCAGAACAGAUAAUACAACAACCCUACAUGUUAAUAAUCAUAAUAUAACACAAGAUGUUGUGCCAAUAUUAUUGGAUUCAUAUUCAAAUAAACCAUGGAUUAAUCCAGAAAAAGAAGUACUUGCACCACAACGUCCACCAGCACCACCAAUGGAUUAUUUUCAAAUAAAUAUUGGUGGUUUUGAUCCAACAAAUUUAAUACGUAUGGGAAUUGAAGGACAACUUAUACAAGGAUAUGUUGGUUGUAUACGAGGUCUUAUGAUUGGUGAAUAUCUUGUUGAUUUACCAAAUUUAGCAAGUGAAGCUAAUCAUGAAGGAAGCAAGGGUGUACUACCAAAUUGUCAACGUAAAUGUGAUGGAGUACCAUGUAAAAAUCAAGGAAUAUGUACUGAAGAUUUUGGUAAACAAGAAUCAUCAUGUAAUUGUCAAUUAACAUCAUAUUUUGGUGAAUAUUGUACAGAUGAUAAAGGUGCUGAUUUUAGUGGUGAAAGUGUAUUACAAAGAGAUUUUGUACUUGAUGGUCCAGUUAAACAAAUUAAAGUACAAUUAGCAUUUUCAACAAAUGAUUUAAGACAAAGAACAUCAGUAUUAUUAUUAUUACAAACUGAAAAUAAAAGAAGUUAUUAUUUAUUAGUUGCUUUAACAUCAGAGGGACAAUUAAUAUUUGAAGAAGAUCGUGAAGGUUCAGCAUAUGGUGUACGUUUAAAUGAUAGAAAUUUUUUAAAUGGUGCUAGACAUAGUAUUUAUUAUGUUAGAGAUAAUAAUACAUCGUCAUUGUUGAUUGAUCGUGAUCCAGUACAAUUAUUACCAAUUCCUGUAUUAAAUGUUGGUGAUGAUGAUAGCCAUGCAGGUUUAGGUACAAUACCAGGUGCUACAGAGAUACAACUUGGUGGUCUUAAUACGACUGAUCAAAGAUUUAGUGCUUACAAAGGAUACACUGGUUGUCUUAGCAAUGUUGUUGUGUCUAUUAAUGGAGGAGCAAUGAUGAAACCAUUGGAGGAGUAUAUGUUGUUUACAAAAAAAGGCAGUGAAACAGUUAGAGCAACUAUACCAGCUGGUGUUAGAAGUGCUCAGUGUGCUGUUUUCCAUGCACAACCACGUGGACCAGAACCACCAAGAAAUGACAGUGUUGGUCGUGAUAGAGCAUGGGUUGAAGAUCCACCAGCAAGAGUACUUUAUAAAUCACAAUACAAUGAUGAAACACAAGAAGAAACACAUGCUGGUACUUAUAUAUUUAUUGGAGUAUGUUGUGUAUUUGCAAUUAUUAUAUUUUGUUGUACAUGUGAACUUGUGAGAAGUUCAAGAAGUAAACGUAAACGUAGAAAUACUCGUAAUAAUACAAAUGCAAAUGCUACAACACUUCAAAAUACAUCACCACGUUGGCAAUCUGGUACAUUUACUAAUUCUGUUAUUGGACCAUCAUCUGGUAAAUCAGUAGGAUUUAAAACAAAUGUUGAUGAUGAAAAAAGACCAAAUGGUGGCACUCAUGUUAAACCACCAAAAAUUCCUGAAACCAAUAAUGAACAAAUUACUAAUGAUAAAAAAGUUCAUAUCAAAGAUGAUGAACCUGAAAAAAAGGAGCUCCUUGGGGUAAAUAAUGGAAACGCAUCUAAAUCUGCAAGACUGAAUCCAUUUUCAAUGGAAGAUUUAACUGAAGAGCCAGAACUUGAAGAACGUGAACAAGCUGAUGAAGAAGAAGAAGAAGAAGAAAUUGAUGAUGAUGUUAAUAAUCGAGAAGCUGAAAUACUUGUCAAACCAUCACCGAUACAAAUUGACAGGAGUCAAUCUAAGACAAGUGUUGAGGAAAAUGUAAUACCCCUAAACUCCAUAACAAAACCGGAAGAAACGCAAGGAUCGUUUCAACUAUAGAGGGAAGAAUGAUCAAUGGACGAAAACAAAUUUCUAAAUCUCAGGCAACUACUCCAGAUGAAAUGAAACCAAGAAUUGUUAGCAUGGGACAAGUUCAUCUUGGUGAUGA
rnacentral:misc_RNA from 1 species